UACUUAAAAACAUAGAAAUUAUAGAUAUUAUGAAAAUAAUAUUAGAAAAAGUAAUAGACUACGAAAUUGAAACUAUAAAUUGUCUAGAACAGUUAUACGAAGAAAUUUACCCAGAAGGAUAUUAUUCAGAUUAAAAAAUGUUAGAAUAUAUUAGACAAACUAGAGAAAAUCAAGAAAAUCUAAAUAAUGAAAUUAAUUAUAGAAACCGAAUUAGAAAAAUAAUGGAAGACCUAAAAGAAAAAUUAGUAUGGAUAGAAAAAACCUUAGAAAAUUUAGAUAAAAGCACAUGUGAUAGUUUAUAUAGUUUAAAAAACUCACUACGAGAAGAACAACACAAGAUAAUAAAUAACAUUGAAAAUCUAGAAUUAGAUAUACAUUAUAGCACAGAUAGGAUAAAUUAUUAUACAGAAAUUUAUAACUCUGCAAUUACUACAGGAUAAAAUAAUUGAUGAAUAUAUCUUACGAAA
rnacentral:lncRNA from 1 species